UCCAGUCCGUCACUGAUCCCGUCUUACGC
rnacentral:sRNA from 1 species